CAAUUUAAACAACGAAGAGUUUGAUCCUGGCUCAGGAUGAACGCUAGCGACAGGCUUAACACAUGCAAGUCGAGGGGCAGCACAGGUAGCAAUACCGGGUGGCGACCGGCGCACGGGUGAGUAA
rnacentral:rRNA from 1 species